UACGGAGGAUGCAAGCGUUAUCCGGAAUUAUUGGGCGUAAAGCGUCCGUAGGUGGCUGGUCAAGUCUGCUGUCAAAGCGUGGAGCUCAACUCCAUAUCGGCGGUGGAAACUGACGAGCUAGAGUGCGAUAGGGGUAGCAGGAAUUCCCGGUGUAGUGGUGAAAUGCGUAGAUAUCGGGAGGAACACCAGUGGCGAAGGCGACUACCUGGCCUGUUCUUGACGCUGAGGCGCGAAAGCUAGGGGAGCAAACGGG
rnacentral:rRNA from 1 species